rnacentral:rRNA from 1 species
AAUCAACGCUGGCGGCGUGCCUAACACAUGCAAGUCGCACGAGAAAGGGACUUCGGUCCUGAGUACAGUGGCGCACGGGUGAGUAACACGUGAAUAAUCUACCUCCGAGUGGGGAAUAACUGAGAGAAAUCUUAGCUAAUACCGCAUAAUACCCACGGGUCAAAGCAGCAAUGCGCUUGAAGAGGAGUUCGCGGCAGAUUAGUUAGUUGGCAGGGUAAUGGCCUACCAAGACGAUGAUCUGUAUCCGGCCUGAGAGGGCGCACGGACACACUGGAACUGAAACACGGUCCAGACUCCUACGGGAGGCAGCAGUGGGGAAUUUUGCGCAAUGGGGGAAACCCUGACGCAGCAACGCCGCGUGGAGGAUGAAACUCC